GUGGCUCGGGGGGGUGACAGUGCCCGCGGUGUCCCCGCAGGCUCCCGCUGCUGCUGGCCCUUGUCACCGCGCUGCUCGCGGCCACCGCCGCCACCCACGGCCCCGCGGGUCCCCUGGACGUGGCGGUGUCGGGGGAGGGACAGACCCCAGAGCCCCCCGGUCCCGCCCGGCUGGAGGCGUCGGGAGAGAGUGAGUGGGGGAGGGGCGCGGACAACGGGGACCCCCGGGACCCCCAAAAAACCGCCCGGACCCCAAAAACCCCCAGGGACCCCAAA